AUGGAUGCCGGAUCAGUCGACAAGGACGUCUUUGUUGACCUGUCUCCGUUGGCAGCGUCUGUUGGUGUGAUCGAAAAGCAGAAUGAGCGCGAGGGCAGGCACCCUAUGGCUUUCACGGCACCACCAUUCAGCCUCGGAAUUGAUUUGAGCCACCCAAUCGAGCCAGUUGAUGCUAUCCUAGUGUCUUAUGCAUUCCCGUCCCAGCCGGACCAGAUGAUGGCGCAACCAAUUGUUGAUGGUAGAAAGGCUGUCAAAUUUGCCGAGCCUAUUGUUCAAGGAUCACCUGUGGAGAUAUCAUCAUCAAUGGAUGAAGCGCUAUGCAAGAUGGAGCAGGAUGUGGUCCUCAGGAAAAAAUUGCAGACAAAAGCCCCUUCUAGCUCACCUGUUGCACAUGCUACCACUUCUGUUGAUGUGCACAGCAGUGCCACCCCAGGUUCUGUGCGGCUGGCAAGGGUUGUGCAACCCCCCCCCCGGAAGUGGACUCUGAACCUCCAAUAA
rnacentral:rRNA from 1 species